GUUGCCCUUCCCGGGAUCCCUAAAGGGAGAGUGACCCUGCCGGCCUUGGGGUCUUGGGUGCGAGCCGAGGACGCUAAACCAGCAGCGGUGGUGGAAAUGCCCUUUUCGGGGUCAACUAUCGCCCAGAUGGCCUUCCAUGUGAGAAACCCUUGGCUGGUUGAAGCUUCCUGACACACAACUCAGCUUUGCCAUUCAGGAAUAUAUCACUGAGCUCCCUCUGCCUCAAGGUCAAAAAUUCCAGGUGCACUUGAUGGACUUAUACUGGCUCAGAUUAGUUUAUCCACAGAUCAUGACAGAAUGAAAGAAUGCACAACAGGAAGAAGUCCUGAGAAACUCAAGGAAUCUGAAGUAAACAUGAUAGAUAAUCCACCUUUUUCACCAGUUGGGAAGCAGGUGAUGAUUGAUGCAUGCAGAUUUGAUCAGCCUCUCAGUGCUGGUUUCUGAGGAGAGACCGGCUAAGAAAGGUGUGUGGACAAAAAAAAAAAAGCGGACUCUGUGGAAAGUGACCUCAGAGUGAUCUGAUCAUAAAUUCCUCACCGGGCAGGUCAUGGUGGGUAGUCACGCCCCAGGACUGUAACUUCUUUUCUGAAAUGUGUUAAGCCAGCCCUAUCCAUUGUUCUUGUGCAUCUAGCUAGGUUAACACACCUUUGAAAUACCAGAAUACCCCUUAAAGGAGGUAUUAACCCUCAAGAGAAUACAUAAUUUUAUAAACUAUCCUGUAAUCCAAUCCCACUUCAUUUUCUUCAAUCUUCCUUAUGUCCCCUCCUUAAUUUCAAUAAAGAAUCUGUAACACUAUUAUUCUCUGGAGCAUUUGAGAUCUUGCUCCCCGGCACGUGUCAUCAGUUUGGCUCAAAUAAACUCAUAAGAAUUCUCUACAUGUUUGUUUCUUACAUCAACAGGAAGGACUUUGGAAAUAGUAGCUGGUAAGGAUGGAUCAGGAUGGAGACUUGGUCCUGGAAGUAUCUCACGGUCAAAGCAAAGCCAGCCUCAAUUGUACGUUAGGUAUCAGUCUUUGGAAGGGCAAGCUGAUCCUGGAAAACACAAAUAAAUUACACUGUCGUUUUUGAUUUGGUCGUUACUUGUCUAAUUUUUGUUUUCUUUCUGUAUGUGUAG